AUUGGCUAUAUAUAAUGAGGGGUAGUUGGUUAGGAUUAGGUUAAGGUGCGUCGGUUCCCACAAAAACCAGUCAUUCAAUUAGGUAGAAUCUCGCUAGGUUUAUUCAUGCUCUAUGUACAGGUAAAUUAUUUCUUGGAAGUGUACGAAUAGAUGGACGUGUGUGAUUUGUGUAGAACGCGGUGAGUUGCGUAUUAUCCGUCCCGAAUAGUUAGAUUCACUGAGGCCGAGCUUGGAGAGGAGUCUUGACGUUCUUGUAGACGAGACCAGUGAGUGCGUCACUACAGAUUAGAAUCUGAGCUCAGUAAAAUAAUUAGAUCGAUUUGUUUAUAGUUGCAACCGAUACAUAUAUGAUUAUUUCUCUUCGAUUAAAACGCUGAUUAAUUCGAUUCCAUAAAGAAUUAUUAUCAUUUCAACCGAGAAACACUUUCUGUUUAUAUAAAAUUACUCACGUUACUUUAUUCCUCACUUGUGUUACAAGUAGUUCGAUUCUUUGCGUCAUAGAUUGUUUCGAGUAUAUAAUUAUAUUCCUUUGCACGUUUACGUAUAUUAUAAUGUAUUCAUUUUGACCGAUGCAAUGCAGCGACGAUUACCAAUAAGAAGUAAUUAUAGAUUGAUACGUCUUACCUUAGAUAUUGGGAUACAUACGAAACAGUGACAUAUAAUAUGGUGUAUAACUUAUUGCACAUUCUCUAUUGUCUUCUGAUUUUAUGAGCUACUUCCAAAGAUAUUGGUCAUUCGAACUACAAGGAAAUUACAUUACAAAAGUUAAUACGACGUAUCAAUCUAUCCAUCACAUAUUCUUUAUUGCUAUGUAUUUAUGCUUAUUUAUCUUGUGUAACAAUUUACUUUAUUUCAUGUAUUAUCUAUUUCAUACGAAUGGUCUAAUUACGAUGUAAGUUAUAGUCUUACAAACAAUAGUUGAAGUUACAUACAGUCCAGAGAAAGAUUAAGAGAAUAUUACUUCUUUAGAAAAAUCAACAUUCAAGAGUUAUUGUAUUUCCUUAAAUAUUGGGAAGCGUAUUAGUUUAUGCAAAUUGACAAAAGGAUCAUUCGUCUGAGAAAUAUUAUGUAUUAUAUUCCUAGCAAUUUAUUUCUUUGUAUCAUCAUUUUUUAUGUGUUGUACGAAUACUGAUAAGGUUUUUGGCAGUUUUCCUUAUCCAUGCAACAAAUGUUGGUAUUCUGUAAUUAUUUCUGCCAAGUAAAAUAUAUGAUCUCUCCCUCGAAAAGCAAAGUAUAUGUGUCGUUUCAUCUACUCAUUAAAUCUAAAGCUAUAGGCUCCUGCGCGAGCUUGUACGAAACAGCAUUAUUCAUCAGAAUUUUCAGGUAAGAUUCAUAUACCAAUUGCAUCUUGUAAAUACUAAUGUAAUACCAAUAGUUAUAUUAAUUUUAUGGUGUUAUAAACACUUUCAGCUCUCAUUGUUAAUGCUUGCUGCGUUGUUCAAAACAUAGCCAAAUUUUAUAACAUACCGCAGUCUGAGAUAUAUUACGACGAAUUGAACAUAGAGGAAAGAAAUAUGGGAUUAAACGAUAUAAGAAAUGUAAACGGUAACGAAAUACGAGAACGUGUCAUUCAACAGUAUUUUAAUUAAGGGGAUCUUGGAGUGACAGCGACACUGCAUAAUCGGUCUAAGCAAUAUCUUUGAAUUGGCUGAACAGAAUGGAAAAUCCUUUUACACGAUUAAAGAUAUUUUAACAGAUUUGAAUACAACGGAGUCACAAUCAGAAUUAAGUCACAAGUGACAUCGAAGAAACUGUCGUAUAGAUAGUUGUUCUUCUAAGGAAUUGUGCACAAGUGUGAGCAAUCGUGGAAAAACUUUAAAAGAAUUGCUUUCCGAAUCCAGUUGUGGUAAAAAAAUAUUAAGGCAAACACGAUUGACUGCAUCAGACCGUAAUAAAAUAAGCCAUUUAAUUAUAGACAAACUUCUUUGCAAAUCUUUAAAAAUAAGUUCAGCAGAUUUUCAGAAAUGGGCUGAAGAAAUAGUCCAUGUUUUUAAACAUGAAAUGACAUCGACACAUUAACGUAAGAAGGAAAGGGACUUCGAUUGCUGAAUAUUAUAAUGAAUAUCCCGUUUUAAAAACUUCCAUUGCUACUUCACUGCAUGAUACGUAUUGAUUGUAGCAUUGCAACCGGAAUUGAUACGCUGAUUUUCCAAAAAAAAUGGCCCGAAAUUUGUCCAUAUGUAUUAUUCUAUAGCCAUCUUGCCCGAGUUUACCCUAUACUUGUGAAUUAUUACCCAGGUAGCAAGGUGACGUCUAAUUGACGUCCAAAGACGUCUCUAGACGUCAUUAGACGUCAUUCUUUAAAGAUUCUGAUCACUGGUCUUCUCCUUUU